rnacentral:rRNA from 1 species
GGUCCAGACUUUGAUUAUGGCUCAGGAUGAACGCUAGCUACAGGCUUAACACAUGCAAGUCGAGGGGAAACGAUAGAGAAAGCUUGCUUUUUCUAGGCGUCGACCGGCGCACGGGUGAGUAACGCGUAUCCAACCUGCCCAUCACUUGGGGAUAACCUUGCGAAAGUAAGACUAAUACCCAAUGACGUCCAUAGAAGACAUCUGAAGUGGAUUAAAGAUUUAUCGGUGAUGGAUGGGGAUGCGUCUGAUUAGCUUGUUGGCGGGGUAACGGCCCACCAAGGCGACGAUCAGUAGGGGUUCUGAGAGGAAGGUCCCCCACAUUGGAACUGAGACACGGUCCAAACUCCUACGGGAGGCAGCAGUGAGGAAUAUUGGUCAAUGGGCGAGAGCCUGAACCAGCCAAGUAGCGUGCAGGAUGACGGCCCUAUGGGUUGUAAACUGCUUUUAUAAGGGAAUAAAGUGAGUCUCGUGAGACUUUUUGCAUGUACCUUAUGAAUGAGGACCGGCUAAUUCCGUGCCAGCAGCCGCGGUAAUACGGAAGGUCCGGGCGUUAUCCGGAUUUAUUGGGUUUAAAGGGAGCGUAGGCCGGAGAUUAAGCGUGUUGUGAAAUGUAGACGCUCAACGUCUGCACUGCAGCGCGAACUGGUUUCCUUGAGUACGCACAAAGUGGGCGGAAUUCGUGGUGUAGCGGUGAAAUGCUUAGAUAUCACGAAGAACUCCGAUUGCGAAGGCAGCUCACUGGAGCGCAACUGACGCUGAAGCUCGAAAGUGCGGGUAUCGAACAGGAUUAGAUACCCUGGUAGUCCGCACGGUAAACGAUGGAUGCCCGCUGUUGGUCUGAAUAGGUCAGCGGCCAAGCGAAAGCAUUAAGCAUCCCACCUGGGGAGUACGCCGGCAACGGUGCAACUCAAAGG